rnacentral:rRNA from 1 species
UAGGGAAUCUUCCUCAAUGGACGCAAGUCUGACGGAGCAACGCCGCGUGAGUGAAGAAGGAUUUCGGUUCGUAAAACUCUGUUGUUAGAGAAGAACAGCGCAUAGAGUAACUGUUAUGCGUGUGACGGUAUCUAACCAGAAAGCCACGGCUAACUACGUGCCAGCAGCCGCGGUAAUACGUAGGUGGCAAGCGUUGUCCGGAUUUAUUGGGCGUAAAGCGAGCGCAGGCGGUCAAUUAAGUCUGAUGUGAAAGCCCCCGGCUCAACCGGGGAGGGUCAUUGGAAACUGGUUGACUUGAGUGCAGAAGAGGAGGGUGGAAUUCCAUGUGUAGCGGUGAAAUGCGUAGAUAUAUGGAGGAACACCAGUGGCGAAGGCGACUCUCUGGUCUGUAACUGACGCUGAGGCUCGAAAGCGUGGGUAGCAAACAGG